AGUGGCGGACGGGUGAGUAACGCGUGGGUAACCUGCCUCACACUGGGGGACAACAGUUAGAAAUGACUGCUAAUACCACAUAAGCGCACAGGACCGCAUGGUCCGGUGUGAAAAACUCCGGUGGUGUGAGAUGGACCCGCGUUUGAUUAGCUAGUUGGUGGGGUAACGGCCUACCAAGGCGACGAUCAAUAGCCGACCUGAGAGGGUGACCGGCCACAUUGGGACUGAGACACGGCCCAA
rnacentral:rRNA from 1 species